CGGUUAGGACGGCUGAGACCCGUAUAAUUUCUCCUCCUGCUUGGUGACCCAAGCGGGUGUCGAGAGAUUGGCGUUGGCGGAUGGAGUCGGCAAGCAUUUGGAGGCUGGAAGAAUGUUCAUUGCGACAAUCUCCGUGCGAUUUAGACCUUUAAAUUCAAGUGAGAAAAGAGGUUAAUGGAGACAUUAUAUGCUUUCAGCCUUAGAUGCAAAGUCCUUUCUGUUCAAGGAUGAGAAGGUGGAUGAUAUUCUCUUUUGCUUUGAUAAAGUCUUCUACCCAGAUCGUGCACAAGCAGAUGUCUAUGAGUUCCUUGCUAUGCCCAUAAUUGGAGGUCGGGACUGAUUGCAGAAAUAGGGUGGGAAUUCUAGAACUGCAUUGCUGUGCUCUGCUCUCCAAGCCGUUCAAAUGCUUCAGAAAGCCUGUCUACUCUUCGAUUUGACACUAGGCAUGUCUUGCAAACAUUGCAUGCAGAUUCUGGGAUGGAAAAACAAACAGAUGUCAUUUGAUUGGUUA